rnacentral:rRNA from 1 species
CAGAGACUGCAAGCGUUAUUCGGAUUCACUGGGCGUAAAGGGUGCGCAGGCGGCCGUGUGUGUCAGGUGUGAAAUCCCGGAGCUUAACUCCGGAACUGCGCCUGAAACUACAUGGCUAGAGUAUUGGAGAGGGUAACGGAAUUCACGGUGUAGCAGUGAAAUGCGUAGAUAUCGUGAGGAACACCAGAGGCGAAGGCGGUUACCUGGACAAUUACUGACGCUCAGGCACGAAAGCAUGGGGAGCAAAAGGGAUUAGAUACCCCUGUAGUCCAUGCCCUAAACGGUGCACACUAGGUCUUGGCGGAUUCGACCCCACCAGGGCCCAAGCUAACGCGUUAAGUGUGCCGCCUGAGGACUACGGUCGCAAGACUA